UACGGGGGGGGCAAGCGUUGUUCGGAAUUACUGGGCGUAAAGGGCUCGUAGGUGGCCAACUAAGUCAGACGUGAAAUCCCUCGGCUUAACCGGGGAACUGCGUCUGAUACUGGAUGGCUUGAGUUUGGGAGAGGGACGCGGAAUUCCAGGUGUAGCGGUGAAAUGCGUAGAUAUCUGGAGGAACACCGGUGGCGAAGGCAGAUCUCUGGGACGUUACUGACGCUGAGACGCGAAAGCGUGGGUAGCAAACAGG
rnacentral:rRNA from 1 species